AUAUAAAAAUAUUUACUAGCUGAAAUUCUAAAUCUACUGAUCUAUACUUAAUAUUUUAGAUAUUAUAUGACAUCUACAAAAAUUAUUAUUAAGAUAUAAUUAUAGGAUCUAGACUAGUUAUUUAUGUACAUAAAAUAUAUAAAUAAAAGAUAAAAUUUAUGCAGGCCUAGAUCCCAUAAAUUUAUAAUUGAUCCAGAUCUAUCAGUAAAAGUUACCUUGGAUGGGAAGUUUUACCCAAUCUAAUCUAUACAAGACAAUUUAUAAUCCAUGCCUCGCCUACACCCCAUACAUUAAAUUCUUAAUUAAACUCUUCCCUAGUGCUAUUAGAGCAUGGAAUGGGUUGCCUGAGCUAGCCAGGAAAACCAGUGACUUGGCUUAAUUUAAGUCAUUGGUUAAUAUGCAUGACUAAAUGCAUGACGCGUAGGACGUAAUCAUCUUCUUUUUUGAAGUAAAGUCUGUAUUAUAUAAGAUAAGAUAAGAUAAUAGUUCCCAUUCCAUGCCAUGCCCAGACCCAUGAGUUCAUGAAAUAAUAAAUGAUGUGGUGUCAAGUUGGAUCUAUCCCCUGAAAUUCAGCACUUUAAUAUAAAACUCACAUAUCUAGUUAAUUAUUUGCUAUGACACUCUGAUCAACUUGGACUUGUGUGAUACAUAUAUGUUUCUUAUCAGAUUUAAUGAAUGAAGUUUUGGUGCAUUUUAAGGCUACAAAAGUAUCAUCAGGUGCAUUCUAACCAUUGGUAUUUUUCCUGGCAACAUUUCUAUUCUAGUCUGUGAUAAAUUAUAAAUUAAAAAAAAUGUUUGUAAUGUUUCAGUUAUUAACAAGUAGAACCAUGCCAACCAGUUCUGAUGAUGUACCAGAAUGGCUCAAGGAUCAUACUUAUACUAUUUCUACUCUCUGGGCAGACAUUAAUAAUAUUGGCAUCCAUUCAAUAUUUAUUUUAUGUUUGGAAAUGCAAGAAAAAGGCAUGCAUUCCUGACAAGUCAAUGAUUGGUUGCACCUCUUAAAGAUAACUUUCUGUUAUGAGAAAAGAUGAGAUUCUUGGACUCCUGCAUAGCACCACCAGAAAGGAAAAUCCCAUCAUGUUGCAAAAUAAAAGUCUUGGACCAAUUUUAAUUUAAGAUAUAUAUAUUAUACUGUAAGCUCUAUACAUAUUUAUGUAUAUCCUGUCAUCCAGCCAACAGGUUUGGAUUUAGUAUUUCUUUAAAUCUGUUUGAUAUUGUACUUGAAAACUAUUAAUCUGAGCCCCAUUAAAACAAUAGGGAGUGCAGUGAAUGAGUGGUAAAGCACUUGGCUUCUGAACUGAGGGUUCCUGGGUUCAAUUAAGACGGAUUUUCAAUUUCAGAAUUCAAAAGGCUAGGGAUACAUGGCAAUAGUAAGGAAUAAGUAAAGGCAGUUUGGGGAUCCAUGGCUGAAUGGUUAAAUCAUGGGUUUGAAUCUCUGUGAAGACUCAGAUUUAAAUUUUUUAGAUUUUUGGGUGCCCCUGAGUCCACCUAACUCUAAUGGGUAGCUGACUUUCGUUUUGGUUGGUUGUUGUGCUGGCCACAUGAUGCACUGGCCAAAGAAUCAAAUGACCUUAACAUCAUCUGCCCUAUAGAUUGUGAGGUCUGAAAUGGGAUUUUUUUUCAAAAGGUGGUUGGUUGUUGUGCAGGGUACAUGACACCCUCGCUAACCAUGGGGCACAGAAACUGAUAAACUUUAUAUCAUCUGCCCCAUAGAUUGCAAGAUAUGUAAGGGAAAUUUUACUUUUUUAAAAUUAAAAUAAGAAUCUAACAAAAGUAAACAUAUAAAAUAUGGUGCAUUCUCCUUAAAACUAAAACCUGGUGCGAAGGUUUAAAAUGUUGGCAAAAAAAAAGCAACAUCAUAUAUUCUUAAUUCCCUUUGCAAAACUUACUGAGAAGAACAUGCAUGUUGUUCCCUUAUACAUUUCUUGACAGAGAAAAUCUUGUUUAUAUUAGAUUUGCAUUAAGCAAGUUAGGAAAAAAAUUAUAAUCAUUAUUUCAAAUGGUUGUAUCUAAAACCUUACGAAUCAUUUUUCAGUUUUAAGUAUAUUGAGAUGAAUGGAUAAUCAUGAAAUUAUUAAAUAAUUGCUGCUAUCAUUCCAUUGACUAAAGAACCAUAAUUAUUUUUUUUUUAAAUUAAUUUCAAAUUGAUUUUUUUCAAGCAUAGAGUUCACAUAGAUCUUGAGUGAAAUUUUUUUUUUAUUUGACUAAUGCUUCAAUUUUAUUGUAUCAUAUUAGUUUUUAAUUUUUAUUACCCAGAAUAUUUAAAAAAAUGAGUACACUAUUUUCAUGUAAUAAUGUAACUUGUUAUUCACACAAUGCUCAAAAUAUGCUAUAAUCUUUAGGCCAUACAGAUUUGUAUAAAUUAACUUGUUUAAAUACAUUGUAAAUGUAUAUUGUUUGGAUAAGAAUAAAGUUUUUCUGUAGACAAUUAUUGUUCAAGAUUUGUUGAUGCUCCUGCUUAAUCAAUUAUAUAUACAGGUCAUUAGUUUUAACACGUUGGAUAAUAAAUGACAGUACAAGUUAGUGAAUGAAAAUUUGUCAUUAUUUCAGCUGCUUUAGGCCUACAUCAAUGUGAGGUACCAGUACUUUGAUUGUGUCAUAACAAUUUAAAGCAACAUUUUGAAAUGAAUAGUCUGUAGAAUUGACAGUAAAUACAUUUAAGUGAUGGGCUGUGAUCUGCAUGAAUUGAGAGCUGAUCAUGUAUUGAAUUUGUGUUUUUGAUCUUUACUUCAAGUAAAUGUUAAUGAGCAAUUAAUUUUUAAUGAAUAAAUAAUUUAAAAAUAAAUACAAAAGAACCAUAAACAUCUACUUUAGUUUAAAAAAAUUUUUUUCAUCAGAACAGAAUUUCCAACUUUGCAUUCUUAAAAUAAAAUAUAAUUUAUUUAGAGUAAAGUCAGAACACAAAAUCAUAGUUUUAAAAUAUUAAGUAAAUUAAGCUAAGCUGUGAUCUCUUAUAAACAUUUGUAUAUAGACUAUACACAAUUUAAUUAUUAUUUUUCAUCAAAUUGCAGGAACUAGUACAUGUACUUAUGCCUAUUUGACAAUAAAAAACCUUAGUCAAUGAAAUAGUAAUACUAGUAAAUGAGAUAAAAGUAAACUAAAUAUCAUCAAUGCUAUUGAAGCCACACUUGUUUUUUUUAAAUCUUGUUUGGUGGACUGCAAUCAAAGUUGCUAUUAAUUUUACUGAUCGUCUUAGCUGAAAUGCCAGUGUCGUCUCUUUGAAACCUAAGCUUAUUUUCUUGGUAACUGGAAGUCCAGAUAUUUGGAGUUUCAUUUUAAGCACCUAUACUUUCCGAAAUGGCAUUCCGAUAGGCAAAACCAUUUGCCUAACAUGUCAUAUGCACGUUAAGAGGUACCACAGAAAUGCUUUAAAGACAAGCUUAGGCGCCAACUUACUUUAACUGACAUAGAAUAAGAGAGCACCUGGUUGCAUAAAGCUUCAGAACGAGACAGCUGGAGGUCACUUACAAAGGUGUGGUAUACACCAAUGAAAAUUAAUUGCAGAGGGUAGACGGCAAAAAAAACAACAACUGAUUCUGCCACAGGUGGACAAUGGUUAUGCCUGUGCUCAGUGUGGCAUAAUAUGUAGGUCACAGCUGGGGCUGAGUAGCCUCUGGAAACAUAGCAUUCCUCAUAAGUCUUAGGAAUCAAAGACAAGCCUAUCAUUUUUGUAGCAUAGUUUGUAGCUUCUGUAAAUGCAUGAAAUGCCGUCACAAAUGACACAAGUCCUCUGUGAGUUUGAUGGAUUAUAAACAUCUUACUUCUUUGCCUUAUAUUAAAUGGUCCUUCUCUCUGUUCCACCUGGUACUUGCGUUUAUCUAAAUAUCAUUGAUAUAUCGUAACAUGUCAUCAAAAUAAAAGCUAGAAUCUCUGCAACUCGUGUACAAGUCAGAAGUCAUCAAUAACACUUGCCAUUUAAAAAAUAACAAUUUAGAUUAGUCAAAUUAGUGACUGAUUAUUCGAUUCAUUUAGGCCUAUAAAUUUUUUAUUUGAAUAUAUAAUGAUCCUUUACACUUUGUGACUUUACUAGUAUACUUUGGAGUAGACUUGUUGAGCUAAAGUCGGAAGUACACAUUGAGUUUUACUGUGAUCUACUAGAUCUAGAUGUAGAUCUAUCCCUAUAUAUAUUAUAUUAUAUAGAAGUAGAGAGAGUAUCUCAUCAAUAGUAUCUGUCAUAUCGUUAUUAGUAGGCGGCUGCAGGUUUAUAGAUCUAUUCCAUGACAAAAACCCUGGCUAGAUUUAGAUCUACUGGUCUAGACAUCUAGAUCUAACUAGAAUUAAACUAGAAAACUGAAUUAGAGAAGUAGCUUUCUGGAUCUAGAACCAGAAUCUAUAUUAUUAAUAUUAAAUCUAGUUGCGUCGAACGCUUAAUUUUUGGUUGUUGUUUUUAAU